CUGCUUUAAAUUAGAGACUCCAUCAGCGAUGAAUAGAUGAAACUAUGCCAAUAGACAGGAAGAGAUAUUGCAAGAACAACUUAAAACCAUGACGGAAGAAAAGUCUGGGAGCUGUGGCUCCAGAUGGGAAGGAUAAAAAUAUGCAGGGAAGGAAGAGCCCUGCCAGGGCUGGAGGACAAGGAUCAGAGACCUCAGGACUAUAGAGAUGGAAAACAGGGAAAGCAGAGAUUCAAAUGUGAAGAGGUUCUAAUAUAUGCCAGCAGCACUGGAUUGCAGAGCGGAGAGGCAGACUGGCUGAGGGGUGCCCUCGAGUAUCCUACUUGGAGGUCCCUAUGCUGAUUGA